rnacentral:rRNA from 1 species
CGCGGGAAUUCGAUUGGCGGACGGGUGAGUAAUAUUUAGGGAUCUGCCUUUGAGUGGGGGACAACCAUUGGAAACGAUGGCUAAUACCGCAUAAUGUUUACGGACCAAAGGGGGCUUUCGGGCUCCCGCUCAAAGAGGAACCUAAGCGAGAUUAGCUAGUUGGUGGGGUAAAGGCCUACCAAGGCGACGAUCUCUAGCUGUUCUGAGAGGAAGAUCAGCCACACUGGGACUGAGACACGGCCCAGACUCCUACGGGAGGCAGCAGUGGGGAAUAUUGCACAAUGGGGGAAACCCUGAUGCAGCCAUGCCGCGUGUGUGAAGAAGGCCUUCGGGUUGUAAAGCACUUUCAGUUGUGAGGAAAAGUUAGUAGUUAAUACCUGCUAGCCGUGACGUUAACAACAGAAGAAGCACCGGCUAACUCCGUGCCAGCAGCCGCGGUAAUACGGAGGGUGCGAGCGUUAAUCGGAAUUACUGGGCGUAAAAGCGCACGCAGGCGGUUUGUUUAAGCUAGAUGUGAAAGCCCCGGGCUCAACCUGGGAUGGUCAUUUAGAACUGGCAGACUAGAGUUCUUGGAGAGGGGAGUG